rnacentral:sRNA from 1 species
UAUCUUCUUAGUAGAUUCAUAUUGUAAGGGUCUCAGAGGGGGUGGGGGGGUUGGCAAAAUCCUGGAGCCAGAAGAAAGGACAGCAGCAUUGAUCAAUCUUACAGCUAACAUGUUGUACCUGGAAAACAAUGCCCAGACUCAAUUUAGUGAGCCACAGUACACGAACCUGGGGCUCCUGAACAGCAUGGACCAGCAGAUUCAGAACGGCUCCUCGUCCACCAGUCCCUAUAACACAGACCACGCGCAGAACAGCGUCACGGCGCCCUCGCCCUACGCGCAGCCCAGCUCCACCUUCGAUGCCCUCUCGCCGUCACCCGCCAUCCCCUCCAACACCGACUACCCAGGCCCGCACAGUUUCGACGUGUCCUUCCAGCAGUCGAGCACCGCCAAGUCGGCCACCUGGACGUAUUCCACUGAACUGAAGAAACUCUACUGCCAAAUUGCAAAGACAUGCCCCAUCCAGAUCAAGGUGAUGACCCCGCCUCCUCAGGGAGCUGUUAUCCGCGCCAUGCCUGUCUACAAAAAAGCUGAGCACGUCACUGAGGUAGUGAAGCGAUGCCCCAACCAUGAGCUGAGCCGUGAAUUCAACGAGGGACAGAUUGCCCCUCCUAGUCAUUUGAUUCGAGUAGAGGGGAACAGCCAUGCCCAGUAUGUAGAAGACCCCAUCACAGGAAGACAGAGUGUGCUGGUACCUUAUGAGCCACCCCAGGUUGGCACUGAAUUCACGACAGUCUUGUACAAUUUCAUGUGUAACAGCAGUUGUGUUGGAGGGAUGAACCGCCGUCCAAUUUUAAUCAUUGUUACUCUGGAAACCAGAGAUGGGCAAGUCCUGGGCCGACGCUGCUUUGAGGCCCGGAUCUGUGCUUGCCCAGGAAGAGACAGGAAGGCGGAUGAAGAUAGCAUCAGAAAGCAGCAAGUUUCGGACAGUACAAAGAACGGUGAUGGUACGAAGCGCCCGUUUCGUCAGAACACACAUGGUAUCCAGAUGACAUCCAUCAAGAAACGAAGAUCCCCAGAUGAUGAACUGUUAUACUUACCAGUGAGGGGCCGUGAGACUUAUGAAAUGCUGUUGAAGAUCAAAGAGUCCCUGGAACUCAUGCAGUACCUUCCUCAGCACACAAUCGAAACGUACAGGCAACAGCAACAGCAGCAGCACCAGCACUUACUUCAGAAACAGUGAGUGUAUCAACGUGUCAUUUUAGGAGGCAUGAGUGAGGGUGACUUUAUUUGAAUCAGCAAUAGGGUGAUUGAUGAGCAAUGUGGAACAUAAUGGGAGAUAGCAGAUUGUCAUAGAUUCAGAUGACCUGGUGCGGCAACCCUCUUUCAGUUGCAACCUUUUGUAUGUGUCUUAUUAUAACCUGCCCUUCGGAAUUCCACUUAUGUUCUGAAAUUAAAUACAAACCAUUUCUGGUGAAUUACAAAGAAAUUCACACUAACAGUUCUCUUCUCUAUAUGCCUGAUCCAUACACACUAAGUACACACUUUAUUUGGUAGUAAUGUGUAUAUUUGAAAACAUGAAAUCUUUUCUCAUCCCAAUGGAUUGUCUUGUAAAUCUCCUGGGAUGCACACUAUCCACUUUUGGGAGUAACAUUGUAGACCAGGGAUAGCAAAUAGGCUUUACUAUAAUAUAAAGUGACUUGUUUGAAUGCUGUGGUGAGAAGAAUUCUGAGACCUAGUGCAUGAUAAGUGGGGAAAUAUCUGGGUGCAGAAGGAUAAGGUAGCCUCAUGUUGCCGUAUUUUAGCAUCUCUG